rnacentral:rRNA from 1 species
UACGAAGGGUGCAAGCGUUACUCGGAAUUACUGGGCGUAAAGCGCACGCAGGCGGCUGCGUAAGUCUGACGUGAAAUCUCCCGGCUUAACCGGGAGCGGUCGUUGGAAACUAUGCGGCUUGAGGCGAUGAGAGGGGUGUGGAAUUCCCGGUGUAGUGGUGGAAUGCGUAGAUAUCGGGAGGAACAUCAGUGGCGAAAGCGGCACCCUGGCAUUAGCCUGACGCUCAGGUGCGAAAGCGUGGGGAGCGAACGGG